CAAUCAUGAUGUGCAGUGUAGUGAUGGAAACAUGCUGAAUCAAGUAUCCAAUAGCUAUCAAACUCUACUGCUCUAUUUGAAACUAUCAGUACAUUAUCUCCACUGUCUUCAUAUUAUAGAGCAUCAUUCUCACUGGUCGAUCCAACCUCGCCCUUCCUCUUCUCAUUCUUCAAAAGUAGGCAAUUCCUUCUUAGAUGACCAGGC
rnacentral:lncRNA from 1 species